ACAUAGGUGCCAUUAGGCACCACAUCAGCAAAAUAUCAAUAAACG
rfam:Nelumbo nucifera unplaced genomic scaffold scaffold00027, whole genome shotgun sequence